CCCAUAGUUUAAGUGUCUUUAAAAAGUACAUAGUGAGCAGUGAUCGUUACAUACAAACGUUCACCUAAAUUGUCCCAGUCAAUGGAUGAAUUUAAUGUGUCAAUCAAUGGCCACAGCCACACUGUUUUGCAUUUCAUUCUACAAUGCGCGUCAAAUUCGCUUUACUGUCCAAACGACGUUAACUUUUACUUCGUAUUGACAAAAGCGUACUUCCAAUGCGAAUUAGAUAAUGCGAAUUAGCCAAUUCGAAUUCGAUUCGAAUUAAAAAAGAAGAGUGUGUGAACGCAAAUAGCGAAUUCGAUUCGCAUUCGAUUCGAAUUCAAUUCGAAUUAAACGUACGUGUGAACGAGGCAUA
rnacentral:lncRNA from 1 species